rnacentral:rRNA from 1 species
AGUCAAGUAAUUAAGUGCAUGUGGUGGAUGCCUUGGCAGUCAGAGGCGAUGAAAGACGUGAUAGCCUGCGAAAAGCUCCGGGGAGGCGGCAAAUAUCCUUUGAUCCGGAGAUGUCUGAAUGGGGGAACCCACCUACUUUAAGGUAGGUAUUGCAACAUGAAUACAUAGUGUUGCAAGGCGAACGAGGGGAAGUGAAACAUCUCAGUACCCUUAGGAAAAGAAAUCAAUUGAGAUUCCCUCAGUAGCGGCGAGCGAACGGGGAUCAGCCCAUUAAGUUAUGUGUGUUUUAGUGGAACGCUCUGGGAAGUGCGAACGUAGAGGGUGAUAUUCCCGUACACGAAAGGGCACACAUAAUGAUGACGAGUAGGGCGAGGCACGUGAAACCUUGUCUGAAUAUGGGGGGACCAUCCUCCAAGGCUAAAUACUCCUGACUGACCGAUAGUGAACCAGUACCGUGAGGGAAAGGCGAAAAGAACCCCUGUGAGGGGAGUGAAAUAGAUCCUGAAACCGCAUGCAUACAAGCAGUGGGAGCACCUUCGUGGUGUGACUGCGUACCUUUUGUAUAAUGGGUCAGCGACUUAUAUUCAGUAGCGAGGUUAACCGUAUAGGGGAGCCGUAGAGAAAUCGAGUCUUAAUAGGGCGUUUAGUUGCUGGGUAUAGACCCGAAACCAGGCGAUCUAUCCAUGAGCAGGUUGAAGGUUGGGUAACACUAACUGGAGGACCGAACCCACUGUCGUUGAAAAGCCAGGGGAUGACUUGUGGAUAGGGGUGAAAGGCUAAUCAAGCCUGGUGAUAGCUGGUUCUCCCCGAAAGCUAUUUAGGUAGCGCCUCGGACGAAUACCAUAGGGGGUAGAGCACUGUUUCGGCUAGGGGGUCAUCCCGACUUACCAAACCGAUGCAAACUCCGAAUACCUAUGAGUACUAUCCGGGAGACAGACCGCGGGUGCUAACGUCCGUAGUCAAGAGGAAAACAAUCCAGACCGCCAGCUAAGGCCCCAAAAUCAUAGUUAAGUGGGAAACGAUGUGGGAAGGCAUAGACAGCUAGGAGGUUGGCUUAGAAGCAGCCACCUUUAAAGAAAGCGUAAUAGCUCACUAGUCGAGUCGGCCUGCGCGGAAGAUGUAACGGGGCUAAAACUAUGUGCCGAAGCUGCGGAUGUAUACUUUGUAUACGUGGUAGGGGAGCGUUCUGUAAGCCGAUGAAGGUGUGUUGAGAAGCAUGCUGGAGGUAUCAGAAGUGCGAAUGCUGACGUGAGUAACGACAAAACGGGUGAAAAACCCGUUCGCCGAAAGACCAAGGGUUCCAGUCCAACGUUAAUCGGGGCUGGGUGAGUCGACCCCUAAGGCGAGGCCGAAAGGCGUAGUCGAUGGGAAAAUGGUUAAUAUUCCAUUACUUCUGUGUAAUGCGAUGAGAGGACGGAGAAGGCUAAAUCAGCCUGGCGUUGGUUGUCCAGGUGAAAGGAUGUAGGCAUGUAUCUUAGGCAAAUCCGGGGUACUCUAUGCUGAGAUCUGAUAGCAAGCUGUACUUGUACAGCGAAGUGGUUGAUGCCAUGCUUCCAGGAAAAGUCUCUAAGCUUCAGUUACACAGGAAUCGUACCCGAAACCGACACAGGUGGUCAGGUCGAGUAGACCAAGGCGCUUGAGAGAACUCUGCUGAAGGAACUAGGCAAAAUGGUACCGUAACUUCGGGAGAAGGUACGCUGUUGUUGGUGAUGGAACUCGCUUCCUGAGCUGACGACAGCCGCAGAAACCAGGCCGCUGCAACUGUUUAUUAAAAACAUAGCACUCUGCAAACACGAAAGUGGACGUAUAGGGUGUGAUGCCUGCCCGGUGCUGGAAGGUUAAUUGAUGGGGUUAGCGUAAGCGAAGCUCUUGAUCGAAGCCCCAGUAAACGGCGGCCGUAACUAUAACGGUCCUAAGGUAGCGAAAUUCCUUGUCGGGUAAGUUCCGACCUGCACGAAUGGCAUAAUGAUGGCGGCGCUGUCUCCAGCAGAGGCUCAGUGAAAUCGAAAUCGCUGUGAAGAUGCAGUGUACCCGCGGCUAGACGGAAAGACCCCGUGAACCUUUACUGCAGCUUGACACUGAACUUUGACCUUACUUGUGUAGGAUAGGUGGGAGGCUUUGAAGCUGGAACGCUAGUUCCAGUGGAGCCGUCCUUGAAAUACCACCCUGGUAAUGUUGAGGUUCUAACUCUGUCCCGUGAUCCGGGACGAGGACCGUGUCUGGUGGGUAGUUUGACUGGGGCGGUCUCCUCCUAAAGAGUAACGGAGGAGUACGAAGGUGCGCUCAGCGUGGUCGGAAAUCACGCGUAGAGUAUAAAGGCAAAAGCGCGCUUAACUGCGAGACCCACAAGUCGAGCAGGUACGAAAGUAGGUCUUAGUGAUCCGGUGGUUCUGUAUGGAAGGGCCAUCGCUCAACGGAUAAAAGGUACUCUGGGGAUAACAGGCUGAUACCGCCCAAGAGUUCAUAUCGACGGCGGUGUUUGGCACCUCGAUGUCGGCUCAUCUCAUCCUGGGGCUGAAGCAGGUCCCAAGGGUAUGGCUGUUCGCCAUUUAAAGAGGUACGCGAGCUGGGUUUAGAACGUCGUGAGACAGUUCGGUCCCUAUCUACCGUGGGCGCUGGAAAUUUGAGAGGAUCUGCUCCUAGUACGAGAGGACCAGAGUGGACGAACCUCUGGUGUACCGGUUGUGACGCCAGUCGCAUCGCCGGGUAGCUAUGUUCGGAAGGGAUAACCGCUGAAAGCAUCUAAGCGGGAAGCCUACCUCAAGAUAAGAUUUCCCUAGGACUUUAUGUCCUCUAAAGAGCCGUUCGAGACUAGGACGUUGAUAGGUUGGAUGUGGAAGCAUAGUGAUAUGUGAAGCUGACCAAUACUAAUUGCUCGUGAGGCUUGACUAUACAACACCC